GGGCCCUCGCGCCUCCUGGUCCCCUUAGGCCUACGCGCCCCCAAGAGGCCUCCCUGGCGUCACGCGCUGCGGCCAGGGUCCCGCCUGUGCCCUCGGGCCUCCAUCUUGGAGGCGAGUUGGCUCCAUCUUGCUGGCGGUGGAAUGCACGCUUGGCUCCCGGCAUGGGCAGCACUUUAUGGCUGCCAGCUGUCUAUAUAUAUAUAUUUUUUUCCCUCUUUAUGACGGGUUCUUUAGUCCUGGGUCGGCUUGAAGUCAUGGCAGUCCUCCUGCCUUAGCCUUCCAGGUAAUAGGAUGAGUCACCUUGCCCAGCCUCCAUUCACCACCGUUAAACUUCGGUGUGCGUGUUUGAGAUGGGGUCCUGCUGUGCAGUUCACGAUAUCCCCGACCUCGUGGCAGUUCCCCCCUGCUUAAGCCUCUCGAGUGCUGUGGUAACAGGCACGAACCAUCUCUUCCUAUUUGUGUUUUCUGACUGGGGAUUGCUGUGCUUUGUAGGGUGGCUUCGAACUCGUGGUGCCUCCCGUUGCUGGUUUUGCAGACCGGCGCCUGCAUAUGGCUAAACCAGUUCUUACCCCGAAAGUGUUAUCUCUUUAUGUUGAAGCAUUUUGGCUAGAGCGUCAACCCGCAGAGUCAGUGCGGUGUCAUCCUUGCAUUCUUAAACCCUCUUGGCGGCUUCGCUCUGGUGCUUCCAAGAUAUGAGUGAAUGCUAGAGAAAUUGCGGGGGAGUCCAAAGGGCUGCGCUCCUCACGUGGUUCAGUCUUAUUUCAUACCUGCGACAUCUUUGAAGAGGUUUAUCGGAGGGAAAUCACAGCACUCUUUUAAACAGCGUGAUCCACCCUUGAAUUUCAAGGCCCCGUUUUCAACAGUCCAAAAGAGCAUUUGUUGGAAUAAUAAGCUUUUUUUUUUUUUUGGUUGUUGUUUUUGUGCUUUGCUUAGGCUGGUCAGCCAGUAGCUGGAGUCACUGUCCAGUCUCUUGGACUUCUUUAAUUAAGCCAUCCUAAAUCACUUUUAACUUUUUCGUAGUUAGAGGUGAUCGGAGAUUUUACCACCUGUUACAGGAGUUCCAGCCUUUUUGAGCCUGCUUGCUCCCGGUAGCCCAUUAUUUUCAUCAUGUGGGGAGAAUUUGUUUUUGUUCAUGGCUAGAUAGAUACAGUAAUGGAAAGAAUGCUGCUUAGAUUCAGACUGCGUUCUGGGACCAGAUUGUUUACUGGAUACCAGUGUCAACUCCAAAUUUUUCAUCAUUGUAAAGUAAGGUGUGUUUCAUCUGAAUGGUGUGUCUAUGUAUAGUGUCUGAAGACAAGGGAUCCGAAGAUGCUUGAGUAGCCGGGCCAUGGUGGUGCAUGCCUUUAAUCCCAGCACUUGGGAAGCAGAGGCCAGUGUGGUCUACAGAUAGAGUGCCAGGAUAGGAUCCAAAGCUACACAAGAGAAACUCUUGUCUCAAGAAACAAACAAAAAGAAUUGACCAAUAGGUCCUUUAGUCUUAUGUUGAGACUUGGAUUCAUAGAGUACUUUAAGGUUUUCAGAGACUUUGAAGUUAGAUUUUCUUGCUUAAUAUUACUCAGUACAUAGAGAGUCCUUCACUUGGAUCACCUUGUUAUUGUCCUGGUAUAGUAUUGAG